rnacentral:lncRNA from 1 species
UACCGUGGAUCUUGUCCCGCAGCAGCUGCCACCCACCUCGCCAGCUUGUCCCAUCGCCUGCCGCCAGUCCCAUCCUCCCUCGGGAUCCCCAUCAUUCCAACGAUGCCUCUGUUUUCCCACGGAGAAAGAUCCCCUACAGAUCAUCCAGCCAAUCCCUUGGAGCUCCGGAUCGAGAAGAUCGAGCCCGAACCCCACGUGCUCGCAGUUAGCACCAGCUUUGCGAGCUCCCAGCCGUUUCUUGAGGUCCAUUCCCGUGAGAACCCAUAGCCGUUCAUCGUAGGCCGGCGAGUCGAGCAGCUGGACCAACACGUACAUUUCCUGCUCCCUUUUCCUUUCUUCUUCCCUCUGAUCUUUGUUUCUCUCCUCUGACCUCCUGCUCACUCGUGGACAUUGCCCGCCAUCGCCGUGUUGUCACGCUCCCCGGCAUGCCGCCGCACCUCCGGGUAACACUGUCGCCCCCGCAUAGAUGCGUCGCCAUCGUCUGGAUCCGCCGUCACCGAGCUCCUGCCCAAGGUCGUUGUGCCUCUGCCAUCCUUCUUAUCCUCCCAUUCCUUGCUUCUCUCUCUCACAACAAUCAAUAUUUCUUUUUCUCUUCACUGUCUAGGAAAACCACGAUGUCAUCGCCCCGUGGCCAUGCCCUACUCUCCACCACGCCGUUGACCAGCCGAGCACUGGAUCCGCGCCACUCGGCCUCCCUUUGCUUGGAUCCGGAGGGACGUUGCCGUUGUACGUGCUCCAGCCACGGUCUUGGUGAAGUUGUGUUUGUUCUUUUGUUCGUGUUGCUUCAGAUUCGCGUUAGCAUAUUGGUUCAUGUAAUGAAAAUUUCCCCUCGCAUGAUAAGCUGAAGCAUAGCGCACUUGCUAUCACUUCUCGGUUUUACCAAAGUCACCAUGGGUCGAAUCCCUGCGGUUGCGCUUUUAUUCUGUAUUUAUUUUGCUUCUCCAGAGGAUCAGCACUUGCCCCGUUUUAAGGAAGGCUGAGCCAUUUUAUGUCACACCACCGGACCUAGCUUGUUAGCUAGCGGCACAUAUCUCUCUCAAGAUAUCCUUGGAUCAAAUCCCUGUCUUGGCAAAAUUUUACCUGUUAAUUUUUUUAUCAUCCCUCAGAUGACAACUUGGACCCAACCGAUGUCUAUUUGGGUUGUUUUUUCCUUUUAAAUUUAACUGCAUAGUUUUACAAAACAACUUAGCUUUUUUGCAAAAUUCAUAUAAAUUCAACCGUGCAUCGGAUUAAAAUGAUUUCGACAAGUAGUAUGUUCACAAUUUUGUGUAGUUUCACGAUAUACAACUUUCAACCAUGUUAGAAAUAUUUAAUUUGUUGUUUUCAUGUAAUUUGCGUUAAUGCCUUAGAGAAAUGGUUUAUGUCAUAACUAAUUAACUGUAGCUCCGUUUAAAAUGAUCCACAUAUGUAACUUGACUAGAAAAAUGUGUAGAACAACAUGCUAACAUUUAUUUUCCUAUUUAACACCUCUAAAAUUGUGUUAUAGGUAGAGAAGUACCGAAAUGUUAAUUUGCAUAUGGAAACUUUCCGGAAUUGUUGUUCGUUGUUCCGGCCUCAUUUAAACUUGCCUAAAAUUACGUGUGGUUCCAUAAUAUCUUGUUGCAUUCUUGAUUUAACAUGCUUGUGCCUUUCACUGCAUAUAUUUUGUAUCCUUGUCAUAUUAUCUUGUGGUGAUCAUAUCAUUUAAAUCGUAGCUCCGUUUUAAAUGAUCUAUAUAUAUGUAAACCGACUAGAAUAUCGUGUAGAAUCAUAUGGUGCACUUUAUUUCUCUGUUUAAUAAACAUAAAAUGUUUUUAGUAUAGAUAUGGACCAAUUUCAAAAUUAACAUAUGGGGUCAUCUCGCAAAUGCUAUAUGAUGUUCCCCACCUCAUUUAAUAUGCCAAGAUAGUAUAGUUUAUUUAUGCUUCACCUCUUCCCAUGUUUAACAACAUUUAACAUUGACGUGUACCUAAACAGGAGUGAACUAAAUAAUUCAACAUGGAGUUUCGUCAAUAUGCAAUGAGUUGCAUAUUGAGCUCCAUUAAUGUGUAGUUUUUAUUGUUGUGCUUUGCCAUGUGCCUUGCAUAAUGGAAAUGGACAAGCAUCAUAUUUGAUUGUGCAUCUUGCGAUGAAUAUGUUGUGGUGUUUAUCGUGUGUUAAUUGUUGUUUCCGGAUUGCUUCUUCUCGAUAGAUUUCCUCAAGUGUGUUCAAGUGUGAGGAUUCGUUCGACUAAGUUGGUUCGUCUGCUUCACGGAUUCGUUCUUCUUACAAGCUGAAUCACAGGGAAGAAGAUCGUUUCCCUAGAUACCAUUACUAUCAUUGCCAUGCUCGUUGUCUCGUUUCUUUCGCUAUGUCUCACUGCCCACCACCUGUUUAAUAAGCCUCCCAACAUUGGCAUGAAAAUCCCUUAACUCUCCACAUCCCAACAACCACUUUUUGGCUAUGUUACCGCUUGCUCAGCCUUCUUAUAGCGUUG